rnacentral:rRNA from 1 species
AUUGAACGCUGGCGGCAUGCCUUACACAUGCAAGUCGAACGGUAACGGGCCUUCGGGUGCCGACGAGUGGCGAACGGGUGAGUAAUACAUCGGAACGUGCCCGAUCGUGGGGGAUAACGAGGCGAAAGCUUUGCUAAUACCGCAUACGAUCUACGGAUGAAAGCAGGGGACCGCAAGGCCUUGCGCGGACGGAGCGGCCGAUGGCAGAUUAGGUAGUUGGUGGGAUAAAAGCUUACCAAGCCGACGAUCUGUAGCUGGUCUGAGAGGAUGAUCAGCCACACUGGGACUGAGACACGGCCCAGACUCCUACGGGAGGCAGCAGUGGGGAAUUUUGGACAAUGGGCGCAAGCCUGAUCCAGACAUGCCGCGUGCAGGAUGAAGGCCUUCGGGUUGUAAACUGCUUUUGUACGGAACGAAAAGCCUUCUUUUAAUACAGGAGGGUCAUGACGGUACCGUAAGAAUAAGCACCGGCUAACUACGUG